AGCAGUUUGCACAGGGGUAAGGUUUGCUGUCCCCAGAGGGCUCACAGUCCACGCAGAAAAAGGGAGACCCCAGCAAGAGCCGCUGGAGGGAUGCCGUGGUGGGGCUGGACAGGGCCAGAUGCUCUCCCCCUGCUUAACCUAAAGGGCAUCACCGCUUUGCUGGGUGCCCCGUUGCUCAGUCCACAGGGGGACCUUGCCUCUCCAAGCAGACUGGGCUAAUCAUUACUUGAUUUUUAUUUGAACAUCUGCGCCCUGCCUUUCUCCACAGGCCCCAAAGUGGCCAACCAAAACUAAAAUCCCAUAGAAAGCAAAAAGGUCAUUUCCCAAAGCGCCAUGAAAUGGGGCACACCCCACAUGCUGUGGGGGCAGAGCAGGCACUGGAAAACUACCACUAGAAGACAAACAACCCUGUUCAAAGCAGCCAUUGAGCAGCAACUGUUACCCAGCAACCAUCAAUGAUAGAACCCUGGCCCUGUUUGAGCAGGAAUAACUGUCCUUCUGGCCUUCCUCUUCCCUGGGAGUUACCAACCUCUCCUCCUGUGCCUUUCAAAGCAACCCAAGAAAAGUGUCAGGAGAUAAGGAUCAGAUGAGGAUCUGGGGCCCAAUUCUCAUUCAGCCUGAAGCUCCCUGGGGGGAAUUGGGGCCAAUCUCUUGCUAUCUACUGGCUUUUGGCCAAAGGCAUUCAAGACUCUACAGAAAUGGAUUGCGAGAACGCCUGACCUGAGAAAUUGACACAAGAUUGAGCGGAGGGGAAUGCACUGUUUAAUGAGAAGAAGGCAAAUCACCAAAGAGGGCGGGAGUCCUGCGAUGAGGUUGGGAGGUCGGGAGAAGCUAAGAAGAAGGAGAGAAGAGACUCUACAGUGGGAGAACCACUUUGGGAAGAGCAGGAUCAGCCCCUUUAUCAUUUCGGUUUCCCUCUUCUGCUGCACCUUCUUCAGUUCGACAGUAUCGCUUUUUUGGUAAUCUGGCGACCGGAACGAUACACUUUACUUCUGAGGAACAGCUACAACUGAAAACAAGGUCAGCUUCAUGUUGUUGUUGUUCUUGUUGUUGUUGUUGUUGUUGUUGUUAUAGCCCAGUAAGCUUCCAGACCACCUUGGGUUUAUUCUCUCUUUUUGACAGUUAAAGCACCACAUUUUCAUUGAUGCCAGGAGAUGUUGAACAGUAGGGCACACAUCCUGGGGUGCCUCUGUUAUGGCACAAGAGAUAUUCCCAGACUGAUUGGGCAAGGUUCGGACCACAGUGUGUGUCUGGACAUUUAAAUUUGCAUUCUGAUUGGGCAAGACCUCUAGGGUUUUUAAAUUCUGUCUUGAUCGAAUUGGGCAAGAUCUCUAGGAUUUUUAAAUUGUAUCUGGAAUUGGGCAAGAUCAAGGCCUGUGUGGGCCUCGAUUUUUAAAUUGCAUCCCCCAGCUUGACCUUUACAAUUGUAUUCUGAUUGGGCAAGACCUCUAGGGUUUUUAAAUUCUGUAUGGAAUUGGGCAAGAUCAGGGCCUGUGUGGGCCUCGAUUUUUAAAUUGCAUCCCCCAGCUUGACCUUUACAUUUGUAUUCUGAUUGGGCAAGACCUCUAGGGUUUUUAAAUUCUGUAUGGAAUUGGGCAAGAUCAGGGCCUGUGUGGGCCUCGAUUUUUAAAUUGCAUCCCCCAGCUUGACUGAGCACACAAUCUCUAGGUUCCCUUAGAGUGAAUUGGGCAUGAUACCAUUUUUUUAAAAUUCCAUGUUUGGGCAGCUUUAAGCCAGUGGACUGGAGUCCCAUGAGCUUGGAAUCUCCAAUGGCUCAACUGGGCAAGACAAUUGGUGUCUUUAAAUUCUGUCAGGGCCUUGUGGACAUAUUUUUCAGCCAGGGGUGUAGUGUUAAAUUUGGAUCGACUGACCACCCACUUUUAUUCAUGCUCAUGAUAAAGUCUGAAUCAAAUGGAUCACGUUGCCUGUUUUAUAUGCGCUGUUUCCCAAGUCUUGAGUGACCCAUGAAGAGAUGAGUUCUUGUUUAGUGCGCUCAUGGCCAUCUCGGAUCCUUAUUCCUUACUCAAGGAAAGCAUUGAUUUUGAAUGCUGGGCUCAAGGUUUUGAUGCUUUUCUGUUUAUUGAUAAAAUGGAAGGGAUCAUUUCACAUGCAAAUGUUUAAAUUGGUUGUGUCAUGCAAGGGUUUUGAGAACUGUCUGGACUAAAGAAAUAGUUUGAUUGCCUUGUCAGCAAGAGAGUUGCCUGCAGCGUAGGCGGCAACCAUGCUAUCUUGCACAGACACAAAAAGCCUUUUGGAUGGUUGUGUCUUUGUUGAAGAUGAUGUUUAGCAUUUUAGCAUUCAAGACUCUUCAGACACGGAUUGCGAGAACGCCUGGCCUGAGAAAUUGACACCAGAGUGAAUGGAGGCGAAUGCACCUGCUAAAGUUGAGGAAGGCAGAUCACCAAAGGCGGCAGGAGUCCUUUGGUGAGGAUGGGAGGUCGGGAGAAGCUAAGAAGAAGGAGAGAAGAGACUCUACAGUGGGAGAACCACUUUGGGAAGAGCAGGAUCAGCCCCUUUAUCAUUUCGGUUUCCCUCUUCUGCUGCACCUUCUUCAGUUCGACAGUAUCGCUUUUUUGGUAAUCUGGCGACCGGAACGAUACACUUUACUUCUGAGGAACAGCUACAACUGGAAACAAGAGGUCGGGAGAAGCUAAGAAGAAGGAGAGAAGAGACUCUACAGUGGGAGAACCACUUUGGGAAGAGCAGGAUCAGCCCCUUUAUCAUUUCGGUUUCCCUCUUCUGCUGCACCUUCUUCAGUUCGACAGUAUCGCUUUUUUGGUAAUCUGGCGACCGGAACGAUACACUUUACUUCUGAGGAACAGCUACAACUGGAAACAAGGUCAGCUUCAUGUUGUUGUUGUUGUUGUUGUUAUAGCCCAGUAAGCUUCCAGACCACCUUUGGUUUAUACUUUCUUUUUGACAGUUAAAGCACCACAUUUUCAUUGAUGCCAGGAGAUGUUGAACAGUAGGGCACACAUCUUGGGGUGCCUCUGUUAUGGCACAAGAGAUAUUCCCAGACUGAUUGGGCAAGGUUCGGACCACAAUGUGUGUCUGGACAUUUAAAUUUGCAUUCUGAUUGGGCAAGACCUCUAGGGUUUUUAAAUUCUGUCUUGAUCGAAUUGGGCAAGAUCUCUAGGAUUUUUAAAUUGGAUAUGGAAUUGGGCAAGAUCAGGGCCUGUGUGGGCCUCGAUUUUUAAAUUGCAUCCCCCAGCUUGACCUUUACAAUUGUAUUCUGAUUGGGCAAGACCUCUAGGGUUUUUAAAUUCUGUAUGGAUUGGGCAAGAUCAGGGCCUGUGUGGGCCUCGAUUUUUAAAUUGCAUCCCCCAGCUUGACCUUUACAAUUGUAUUCUGAUUGGGCAAGACCUCUAGGGUUUUUAAAUUCUGUAUGGAAUUGGGCAAGAUCAGGGCCUGUGAGGGCCUCGAUUUUUAAAUUGCAUCCCCCAGCUUGACUGAGCACACAAUCUCUAGGUUCCCUUAGAGUGAAUUGGGCAUGAUACCAUUUCUUUUAAAUUCCAUGUUUGGGCAGCUUUAAGCCAGUGGACUGGAGUCCCAUGAGCUUGGAAUCUCCAAUGGCUCAACUGGGCAAGACAAUUGGUGUCUUUAAAUUCUGUCAGGGACUUGUGGACAUAUUUUUCAGCCAGGGGUAUAGUGUUAAAUUUGGAUCGAAUGACCAACCACUUUUAUUCAUGCUCAUGAUAAAGAUCUGAAUCAAAUGGAUCACAUUGCGUGUUUUCUAUGCGCUGUGUCCCAAGUCUUGAGUGACCCAUGAAGAGAUGAGUUCUUCUUUAGUGCGCUCAUGGCCAUCUCGGAUCCUUAUUCCUUACUCAAGGAAAGCAUUGAUUUUGAAUGCUGGGCUCAAGGUUUUGAUGCUUUUCUGUCUAUUGAUAAAAUGGAAGGAAUCAUUUCACAUGCAAAUGUUUAAAUUGGUUGUGUCAUGCAAGGGUUUUGAGAACUGUCUGGACUAAAGAAAUAGUUUGAUUGCCUUGUCAGCAAGAGAGGUGCCUGCAGCCUAGGCGGCAACCAUGCUAUCUUGCACAGACACAAAAAGCCUUUUGGAAGGUUGUGUCUUUGUUGAAGAUGAUGUUUAGCAUUUUAGCAUUCAAGACUCUUCAGACACGGAUUGCGAGAACGCCUGGCCUGAGAAAUUGACACCCGAGUGAAUGGAGGCGAAUGCACCUGCUUAAGUUGAGGAAGGCAGAUCACCAAAGGCGGCAGGAGUCCUUUGGUGAGGAUGGGGUGAGUAACUGGGCCUGACUGGUUGGAUGAUGCCCCAUCUGUACUGGGCCUUUUCCAAACCAGAUGCUAAUUUUUUUUCCCUUUAAGUUCGGCACUGACAUUUUUAUUGACUUUCUGAAGGGGUAUUGCGACAGCAACCUGGGGAACUCUGGAAAUGGGCCCAGAAUUAUGUAAGGAUGACCAGAAACUGUAUAUUUAUUAAAAUUGACUUGGACCUUUCUUUUUAAAUAUAUAUAUAUUUUAAAGUAACCUGGAAAUUGUACUGUCAGAGUGAAUGCAGAAGAAAAGUGACGUAACAUCAGAGAAUCGCUGGGGAAGUGAUGUGAAGCUGAGGUAAUCUUCUGCCUUCUUUUUCAAAUGGUAAGUGAAAUAAAGGAAAAAAGUAAGAAAUAUCUUACAUAAAAGAUGCAUGGGUGAGCAGGCGUUUGGGCAAAUGGACCCAUCCCCCCACCAGCCCCCCAGCCCCAAUCAGUGACAAAAUGUGGAGCCCCACCACCACAUGGAGCUCUAAAAUGGGUCGGGAAAUCCCGGAUGGUGUUGGGGAACUCUGACUCAAUGUAGGCUUCCCAACGUCGGGAUUGGCUGAUCCCCGACAUCCACCAACGUGGCCCAUCUCAGGCCAUGUCCAACACAACUGAUGCAGACUUGAACAGCCGUAUAUUAAGCACCUUCUCUCUUUCUGUUCCGAUUCUGCCCCCAAACUGAGCUGAACAGACCCAAGCCCAGAGAUGGAAGGGGAGCUGAAAAGGCUGGAGAAGAGUAGUGACGCUCUCAAGGCUGGCUUCUACGAAUCCUUCGGUGGACUGCAUCCUCCUCAUGACUCUGAUGACAGUAGCAAUGGACCGAGAGAGAACCUACAUUACGUGUUCAGGACUACAGAAAUCCCCCUCCACUUGGCCUCGUGCAGAGGGGAGGGAGUUUGUCCCAGCCCCGCUCUGCACGAGGCCCAAGAAGCAGGCCAAUUGGCCCUUUGGGUUAGGGGGUGGGGUUUCGGCCGGGAUAAUCCCCGCCCCGUUCUCCUCAGUUUGGGCCAGGCAUUCCCCUCCCUCCCUCCCUGGUACAGAGCGGGUCUAGCGACUGGUCGCCCAACGGGGCCGAGUAGGAAUUUUUGGCUCCCAACGCAUUGGCCACUGUUGGGGUUUUUUUCGCCUACUCCGUUCUGUGUUCCAGGUGUGUAGUUAGAGUUAGGCCGGUCACAAUGGCAGUAACAGUGCGGGCGGGGUGGUAAUUCGAGGGUUUCCCGAGCCAGGGUGUGUCGCCCAGUAAGGUGCUGGGUAGGACGUCAGAGUUCUAACCCGGUCCUCUUGGCCCGCACUGUUCUCUAAGGGUGAUUAAUCACCUGGUGUUCUAGUCCGCCAUGUCUUUUGUUACAGUUAAUAAAGUUGUGGCCCUUUUACCCAUACUAAGUCUACGUGUCUUCUUGGACUGGGGGCUGGGGAAAAGGAUUCCACUUUUGUGUACUGAUCAGGCGCACACUGCCUUGAUUCUUCCACUCAGAACAAAACUCAUUCCGCGCACAGAUGAAAAAGAUCUGAGGGAACAUUCAGAGGCACUCUUACCCCUGGAUUUCUGGGUGAACUCCA